AUGGAGCUUUAGACGCCAAGACAGACCAUGUUAAACACCUCCCCAUAAGGAGCCCAAACCAAAUGGUCCCUGCCCUAGUGUCUUUGGUUGGGGCGACCGCGGGGAAACAUAAAACCCCCAUGUGGAAUGGGAGCACCCUCUCCUACAACUAAGAGCUACAGCUCUAAUGAACAGAAUUUCUGACCAACAAGAUCCGGCAAUGCCGAUCAACGGACCG
rnacentral:rRNA from 1 species